CACACUCAGACACCAACAGGUCAAACUGAUCAAACACACUCAGACACCAACAGGUCAAACUGAUCAAACACACUCAAACACCUACAGGUCAAACUGAUCAAACACUCUCAACACCUACAGGUCAAACUGAUCAAACA